rnacentral:rRNA from 1 species
GAUGAACGCUGGCGGCGUGCCUAAUACAUGCAAGUCGAGCGAACAGACGAGGAGCUUGCUCCUCUGACGUUAGCCGCGGACGGGUGAGUAACAUGAGGAUCACCUAACUAUAAGACUGGGAUAACUUACGGAAACCGAAGCUAAUACCGGAUACUUUCUUGAACCGCAUGGUUCAAUAGCUAAAGACGGUUUUGCUGUCCCUUCUAGAUGGAUCCGCGCCGCAUUAGCAAGUUGGUACGGUAACGGCUUACCAUGGCAACGAUGGGUAGCCGACCUGAGAGCGUGAAGGGGGCCUGUGGGAGUGAGACACGAUCCUGAGACCUACGUGAGGCAGAGGUAGCGAAGGGACGGAAAAGGGCGGAAGACUGACCAAGCGGCGGAGCGCGAAUGAUGAAGGGCUUCGGGUCGUAUGACGCUGUUAGGAGUGAAGAACGAAUUUGUAAGGAGCUAUGCUCGUCGUGACGGUACCUGAACAGGAAGCAACGGCUAACUACGUG